ACGGAAGGCAGCAGUGGGGAAUAUUGCACAAUGGGGGAAACCCUGAUGCAGCGACGCCGCGUGAGUGAAGAAGUAUUUCGGUAUGUAGAGCUCUAUCAGCAGGAAAGAAAAUGACGGUACCUGACUAAGAAGCCCCGGCUAACUACGUGCCAGCAGCCGCGGUAAUACGUAGGGGGCAAGCGUUAUCCGGAUUUACUGGGUGUAAAGGGAGCGUAGACGGCUUUGCAAGUCUGAAGUGAAAGCCCGGGGCUCAACCCCGGAACUGCUUUGGAAACUGUAGAGCUGGAGUGCAGGAGAGGUAAGUGGAAUUCCUAGUGUAGCGGUGAAAUGCGUAGAUAUUAGGAGGAACACCAGUGGCGAAGGCGGCUUACUGGACUGUAACUGACGUUGAGGCUCGAAGGCGUGGGGAGCAAACAGGAUUAGAUACCCUGGUA
rnacentral:rRNA from 1 species